AUGGGCGCGGCCCCGGGCUCCGUGCUGGUCCUGCUGGCGGGUCUGAGUGCCGCGGCCAGAGCUGAGAUCCUGCAGCCGGGCACUAGAGAGGCUCCGGAGGGAGCUCCGCUCAACCUCACCUGCAGCCACGGCUCUGUCUCCAACGAGAAUAUAUUCUGGUACCGACAGUUCCCGAACGGCGGAUUCCAGUUGCUCGUGUCCGGCUACAGGGGAUACGUCGCUGUCUCCGCCCCGGAGGGAGCUCUGCACAUCUCGGCGGACAGAAAAUCCAGCGCCCUGGCGCUCCGCGCAGCCGGGCUGGGGGACGCGGCCGUGUAUUACUGCGCUCUGAGCGACACGGUGCGACAACCGGGGGCUGCGCCGCACAAGAACCGGGACGGGGAGGCGGAGGAGAGCAGGCAGGGAGGAAGAGAUGGGGACGCGUACAAGUGGGGCUGA